UACGUAGGGUGCAAGCGUUAAUCGGAAUUACUGGGCGUAAAGCGUGCGCAGGCGGUUUUGUAAGUCUGUCGUGAAAUCCCCGGGCUUAACCUGGGAAUUGCGAUGGAGACUGCAAGGCUGGAGUCUGGCAGAGGGGGGGUAGAAUUCCACGUGUAGCAGUGAAAUGCGUAGAGAUGUGGAGGAACACCGAUGGCGAAGGCAGCCCCCCUGGGUCAAGACUGACGCUCAUGCACGAAAGCGUGGGGAGCAAACAGG
rnacentral:rRNA from 1 species